rnacentral:lncRNA from 1 species
UUUUGUCCCAUAAAAAAAUAUAUAUGGCUUACGAGUGGGGAUCUCCACCAUUUACAAGUAUUCAAACAGGAGGGGGUGGUGAUGACCCCAGGGACUUUACCUACAUUUCAUUUGAUUUGUUUUAUUGUCCCAUACAAGAAUAUAUAUGGUUUAGGGGUGGGGAUGUUGACGCUUUACAAGUUUUCAAACAAGAGGGGUGGGUGACCCCUCGAGACUUCCCUUUUAUAAUCAUUUCAUUUGUUUUAUUGUCCCUACAAGAUAUAUAUGGUUUAGGGGUGGGGAUGUUGACUUUUACAAGUUUUCAAACAAGAGGGGGUGGGGUGACCCCUCAGGACUUCCCUUUUAUUUCAUUUCAUUUUGUUUUAUUGUCCCCUCAAGAAAUAUAUAUCGUUUAGGGGUGGGAUCUGGACCGUUUACAAGAUAAUAGUACAUUCUUAAAUUGAACGGGGUGGGAGUGACCCCAAGGAACUUCCAUUUAAUUUCAUUUGAUUAGUUUUAAUGUCCCAUACAAGAAUAUAUAUGGUUAAGGGGUGGGGAUGUUGACCGUUUACAAGUUUUCAAACAAGAGGGGGUGGGGUGACCCCAUAGGGACUUCCCUUUUAUUUCACUUCAUUUGUUUUAUUGUCCCCUACAAGAAUAUAUAUGGUUUAGGGGUGGGGAUCUGGACCGUUUACAAGAUAAUAGCACAUUUUCAAAUUGAACGGGGUGGGGACCCCGGGGACUCCUUUAAUUUCAUUUGAUUUGUUUUAUCGUCAUUCAAGAAUUAUGAGGUUUAGGGGUGGGGAUCUGGACGUUUACAAUUUUCAAACUAGAGGGGGUGGGGUGACCCCUAGGGACUUCCCUUUUGUUUCAUUUCAUUUGUUGUAUUGUCCCCCUACAAGAAUGUAUAUGGUUAAGGGGUGGGGAUCUGGACCGUUUUACAAGAUAAUAGACAUUUUCAAAUUGACAGGGUGGGGAGGACCCCGGGGACUUCCCUUUAAUUUCAUUUGAUUGUUUUAUUGUCCCAUUAAGAAUAUAUGAGGUUUAGGGGUGGAUCUGACCGUUUACAAGAUAAAGCAAUUCUCAAAUUGAAGGGGUGGGAUGACCCCAGGG